AUCCUACGGGACGCAGCAGUGGGGGAUAUUGCACAAUGGGGGGAACCCUGAUGCAGCGACGCCGCGUGGGUGAAGAAGCGCCUCGGCAUGUAAAGCCCUAUCAGCAGGGAAGAAAAUGACGGUACCUGAUUAAGAAGCCCCGGCUAAAUACGUGCCAGCAGCCGCGGUAAUACGUAUGGGGCAAGCGUUAUCCGGAUUUACUGGGUGUAAAGGGAGCGUAGGCGGCCUGGCAAGCCUGAUGUGAAAUACCGGGGCCCAACCCCGGGGCUGCAUUGGGAACUGCCAGGCUGGAGUGCCGGAGAGGG
rnacentral:rRNA from 1 species